GGGGGCGGAUGUAGCCAAGUGGAUCAAGGCAGUGGAUUGUGAAUC
rnacentral:tRNA from 1 species